CCCGGCCGACGGCCCACCUGGGCUUCGUGAACAGUGGGAGGGAGAGUCUGGGGCCAGGAGAGGGACGGUGCAGGAUCAGGGAAAGUUCCAGAAAAGUCUAAGAUCAAGAUGCAGAUAGGAUUGGAAUCCUCAGAGGUCUCCUUGGCUUGCAGAUGGCUGCACCCUUGCUAAGUCCUCACACGUUCUUUCCUCUGCACAGGUACCUCUGGUAUUUCUGUGUGUCCUAAUCUCCUCCUCUUACAAGAAUACCAGCCAGAUUAUAUUAGGGCCCACGCCAGUGGCCUUAAUUUAAUUAGCUCUUCAAAGGCCCUACCCAAAUACAGUCAUGUUCUAAGGUACUGGGGGUUAGGGCUUCAACAUAUGAAUUUUGGGGGAACAUAAGUCUAUAACCAAACCUCUAAAAUUCCCCUAAAAUUAUUCUCACAUUUUAAGCUACUCUGAUGUCCGUCCUUGGGAGUGGAUUCCUUCUACUUUUUAUUCAUGUCCUUUUGAAAUCAGAAACCUUCCUAGGUAAUUAGAAUAUUUCUUUAGCUGCUUCCUGGUUGAAUAUAUGGAUUACUUAGCCACUCCAGACUUCCGGUAGUGUUGGGAAUUACCAUGCUUUCCAUGAAGAUGUGAGCUUGCUGGGUAUCAUGUACGUUGGCAGACGCAGUGACGUAUUUGAGAGUUUCACAUGCCUCUUAACCUGUCUUUCCUCCCAGAACCGUGUGCUAACUCCUCAUCAAAGACCAGAAGUAGAUCCUGAAUUGUAUUCAUUCUCAUCUCUUUCUACCUCCUCCAAGACAGAAGGACAUGAUUAACUUCUUUAUCUCAAUGUCAGCCUUCAAUAGCUACAAAAGUCUAAACUGUAAAUAGCGUUGAAGCUUUGCAUAAUAAAAUUCUUUUCCCCAGUGA
rnacentral:lncRNA from 1 species